GAUUAACGCUAGCGGCAGGCAUAAUACAUGCAAGUUGAACGAGAUUAGUUUAGCAAUAGACUAUGAAAGUGGCGCACGGGUGCGUAACACGUAUGCAACCUGCCCUUGACUGGAGAAUAGCCUCUCGAAAGAGAGAUUAAUGUUCCAUAACAUAUAGGUUAAGCAUUUAAUUUAUAUCAAAGCUCCGGCGGUCAAGGAUGGGCAUGCGGUUGAUUAGCUAGUUGGCGGGGUAACGGCCCACCAAGCCUACGAUCAAUAGCUGAUGUGAGAGCAUGAUCAGCCACACGGGCACUGAGACACGGGCCCGACUCCUACGGGAGGCAGCAGUAAGGAAUAUUGGGGCAAUGGACGCAAGUCUGACCCAGCCAUGCCGCGUGAAGGAUGAAGGCCCUCUGGGUUGUAAACUUCUUUUAUCUGGGGCGAAAGGCGGUUAUUCUUAGCCGUUUGACAGUACCAGAGGAUAAGCACCGGCUAACUCCGUG
rnacentral:rRNA from 1 species